rnacentral:lncRNA from 1 species
CGUGGCUGACGUAUCUGCUGGGGAUAGCGGCGGACUGAGGGGCGGCGGCGCCGACUUAUUGAAGGGGACAGGUCGGGGCGAGGCAGUGAGGGCUGGAGUGCGACGCAUCGAUGCUUCUUAGCGCCUGCUUGAAAUAACCCAUCUUUUUUUCCCUUUCCUCACUAUCUUAUCAACCCUAAUUUCCCUCCAGAAUCAAGCAAUCAUUGAAUCCCCUAUCUACAACACAACAUAAAAUUGAGAAAACGGAAAAAGAAAAGGAGGAAUUCAACAUAAUACGAUUCUGAGAAUGAAUGAAUUGUAAAUGUAUCGUUGAGAUUCAUUAUGCCACAAGAGGAGAGGGGGAGGGAGAUCACCUUGAGAAAUUCGAGGAAACUGAGAAAUUUGCGCCUGCAAUGAGCAAAAAAAUAUGAAACGGAGAUUGACAAAUAUAUGUUGCGGGUCAAGACGGGAGGACCAACGAAAAACCUUUAGUCCAAAUGUGCGAGACACCCAUUGACGGCGGUGGUGACAGGCUCGGGCAGCCAUUGGCGGCGGCUGUGCCAUGGCUAUGGUCGGGGGAAAGGAGAGCUUGUGUGGAGACGGGAG